CUUUGAGCUUGGGAGGUCGAGGCUGUAGUGAGCCGUAUUUGCACCACUACACUUCAGCCUGCGUGACAGCGAGACCCUGUCUCAAAAUAAUAAUUGGAAUAAAAUGUGAAAUUUGGACAUUAUGUUGUCUUGGUGAAAAUACAGUGUAAUGUUUGGGAAAGCAUAGAGCAAAUAGUAUAUCCUAAGUAGAUCUUUUCUUUGGCUGUAGUGGGUAAAAAGAUACCAUUAAAUUGUGGUUUGGGGCUUUUUUUUUUUUAAUAACACUUCAACUCUUAAUAAAUACUAUUUUACUUGAAAUUAGUAGGCAGAUAUACUUCUGGAACCAUAGAAAUCAAACUUGAGAGAAAGAAAAUACAAUGAUAGAGACAGUCUAAUUAACAUGAACAUAAAAUAACCAUCAGGUGACAAACCUUUUCACAAGAAAAAUGGUCUGUGCCGAAGAUCAACUUCAUAGACAUUAGCUCAAAGCUGUGAUUUUAUGCACAAAGUAGUAUUGUAGCAAUGGUAUAAACACAGGAAAAAUUCUAGUCAUGAAAGGAGUGGAACCUGCAAAUGUGGAACUGUAUGAAAAAGAAAAAGUUUGUAGUGUUUACCUGUGGCAGGUGUUUAUAUUUCACAAUGUAAAAAAUAAAUAUAUACUGGUUUACUAAUGAAUUUAUGAAUUUUAGAUGGGACUAAUUUUAAGAAUUACUGCAAAGUAGGAAAAGUUUGUCUCUAGGACCCUUUUAUGGCCUUUUUUUUCUUGCUCUUUCAAGCUCAUCAUGUAGCAGUAACCAUCCAUAGACGUUUCUCUGUUCACUAUCAAAAGAGAUCUCCAGGACCUGUAGGCUUUGUUAAGUUAUCUUUAAAAUGAUGAGUAAACACACUAAAGUAUUGAUGGAUUUUUUCACAUUUAAUUGGAGCUCUUGAAAAUCCUAACAAUUUUCUCAUGGUAAAAUUUCAGACAUUGACAUCUGUUAGGGGAGAUAUUUACAGAGAAGAGAGCUUUUUGAGUCGACCCCUUAAUUUACAACCUGUUGCCAGUUGGGAAGGGAAUUAACAUUGUUGUAGGCUUAUAUGCUAGUGUCUGAGUGUCUGUGUUAGGUGAUACACAGUAUGAUUUUAUUCUCACAGCUUGUGAGUAUGACAUUCUCAUUUUUAAAAACUUUUUUUUUAAAGGGGGAUGGGAUCUCGCUAUCUUGCCCAGCCUGGGGUGCAGUGGGUAUUCACAGGUGUAGUCAUGGCUCACUGCAGCUUGGUACUCCUGGGCUCAAGCUAUCGUCCCGCCUCUCCCUCCCCAGUAGCUUGGACUACAGCUUAUUCAAGUUUUAUAAGAGAUAAACUAAAAGAGGCACAGAAAGACGAAAUGACCUUCCUAAAGAGGCCACAGUGGAGGCAAAUCGUUAAAAUUAGGAUAUCAGGUUUCAAAGCAGCUGCUUUUAUCACCAAACCAGUAUUUCAUAGUCAUUUUAUUCUUCUGUUUUACUCAUAUGUGGUGAACAUGACAAUAUGUUUAAUUACCCUCCAAAAUUCCUUUACAUGCCUCCAAAGAGAUGAUUCUCCAGUUUCUUUUUGAAUCACCACAUGAGACCAUUCUGCUUGUCAUUGAUUAGUCUUACUUGAACCUUUUGUGGUAUUUUUAGCUAAGAGCAUAUAGAAAUGCCUUAGUGGAGAUGACUGACAGCUACAAUAUUCAGUUCUAAAUAUAUUGUUAGUUUUUUAUUUGGUUUUUGCAGAUUAGCUAACUCUGAAGUUUGUACUUAGAGCAAAUAAGUAUUGGCAAUUUAUGUGUCAAUAAUGUUUGGAAUUAUCACAGCAAGAAUUAACAAAUUUCUUGUUAUUGACACUUUUGAAUAAGAUGUAUUCAGUAUUAUAAGCAGUUUUAAUAUAUCCAUUCAAUAAAGAGUUACAAAGUCCUUACAUGUGUCAGGGCUGUGUUAGGUUCUGCACAGAAAAGAACAUGGAAAACACAUGGUCUGUGCCCUCAGUGAGAAGAUGAUUUGGGAGGGAGGCAAACAGAUGUAACUAGUAGCAUACACUCUAAUAAUCAUAGUAAUGGAGGUGUGUAGUAGGGAGAGUGGGGACAAUAGGAAAGAAAUAGUUAACUGUGUUUGAGGGACUCUGGGAAGGAUUCAGAGAGGAGGUUUAGUUUAAACUGAAGCUUAAAUAUUUUGACUACAAGACAGUUCAUGGUCUGCUUAUACAUUUUGCAUAUACAACAUUUGCACAUAUAGCAUUUCCCUCAUAUGUACAUAUAAAUGCAGUAUUUAGCUUGAACAUCUAGCCUCUUCCCUUUUCCCUGAAAUCAUAUGUAAUCGUGUAGAUUCUCCUCCCCCCAUGUAUCUUUCUAGAAGGCUUCUCUCAUAGCUUCUCAGGUGUUUCACUUUAGUUCUCUGCUCUCCAGCUCUUAAAUUGCUCUGGCUUUUGGAAGCAUGGCAGACUCUAUUUCUGCAGUCUUUAAAACAGUAGUGAAUGAAGGAUGAUAAUUGUGGUGGGAAAUGUAGAAGAGAACAGGGUAAUGGAAGUAGGUACCUGAAUACUUUACUGUUUGUACUGUCACAAAUGUUUUCUUCUAUUUAGAAUAAUCUCCAGGCUUAAAAGUGUGACUAGCAAUCUCUCAAGCAAAAAACGAAGUUAGAAAACAGCUGUCUGGAAAGGAACAUUGUAUUCUGUGGUAUGUUAUUUUCUGGCACAUUUUGGUUGUAAGGCUUUUUGUGGAUACUUAUGAAGGAUUCUACUUUGAUUAAGCUAACAUACAUGUCUAUCUCUGUCUUCUCAUAGACCUGCAACUUCUCCCAGACAGGCACAUUGGUGGAUGUUAAAGCAAUUAGUAUUACUUGAAAAACAGCAUGAUAUUAUGGCAAGAGCUCUGCUUUGGAAUUAGGAGACUGAAAUUCAGGCCCUGCCUUCAUUCUAUGUUUAAUUUGUUGUCUUUCUUUGAGCUAGUCAGUUAACCUCUCUUAGGUUUCAGUCUUGCUGUUUGUUAAAUAAUGGGGUAGGAUAACGCCCUCUAAGACUUUUCGUAGCUCAGAAAUUCUAUCAUUUCAUUAUUGACGGAGUUGGAUGUUCAACUGACAAAUCUUUAUCGAGUGCUUCCCACCUUUAGGCUCUGCUAGGUGCAGUCAAAAAGAGACAGAGGAGAGAUGAAGAUCAAUGGAAUAUAAUUGAGAAGCCAGAAUUUAAACCAUACAUAUAUGGCCAAUUGAUAUUCAACAAGAAUGGCAAGGUGAUUCAAUGAGGAAGAAUAGUCUUUAAGAAAUGAUGAUGGAACAACCCGAUUUCCACAUGCAAAAGAAUGAAUUUGGACCCCUUACCUCAUACCAUAUAUAAAAAUUAAUACAACAUGUAUUAAACACCUAAAUUAUAAAAACUAAAACUCUUAGAAGAAAACAUAGGGGUGAAUCUUUGUAAUUUUGGAUUGGGUAAUAGUUUAUUGAUUUGACACCAAAAGCAUAAGCACUCAAUGAAAAAGAAAGUAUACUUCAUCAAAAUAAAAAACUUCUAUGUCCAAGGCCACUGUCAAGAAAGUGAAAAGAUCUCCAAGAAAUAACAAUUUUUUAAAAAGUGAAAAGAAUACAGUAUGGGAGAAAAUAUUUGUAAAUUAUGAAUCUGAUAAGGGGCCAGUAUCCAGAAUAUAUUAAAAGUUCUUAUAACUUAACAAUAAAAAGACAACCAAGUUAACAAAUCUGAAUAGGCAAAUGACCUGAAUAGACAUUUCCUCCAGAGAGGAUAUUCAGAUGGCCAGUAAUACAUGCAAAGAUGCUCAACAUCAUUAGCCAUUAGAGAAAUGCAAUCAAAAUCAUAUGAGAUACCAACUCAUACCCAUUGGGAUGGCUGUAAU